GCAUUAAUGGGGUAGUGGUAACCUGGGUCGUUGCCAUUCACUAUCUCGACCCGCCGGGGGUUCGAUUCCCCCUUAAUGCA
rnacentral:tRNA from 2 species